GGAAGCAUAAAAUCCAGUAGUGGGCUGCUUCCAGGAAGAGCGCGAGGGACGUUGCUGCAGGAGCCAACUACUAAAGCCGUGGGUCGUCUUGCGAGAGUGUUAAGUGUGAUUUAUCUGCGGAAUUGGCCAUGUUGAAUGGUGAGCUAGAGCCUGAACUAGAGUCUGAAGCUUUAUGCCUGGAACCAAACCAACCGAACUGAAUCCACCCAACCGAGCCCCGGGCGGGUAGGAGGCUCCUCAGCAGCCGCUCUGUUUUUUCCCUUUGGUUUUUCAUAACGCAACGAGUUCAUUUAUGUCAUCCUGAACUUUCACAUUUUCCCUGUUACAUUCAUUAAAACCCCUCUGGACACUGCCACCACAACGUGGACUUUGCGAGGUCAUUUAAUGAACUGUCGUGUUGCGCUUAUACCAUUCUUGGUAAAAACAAGGACUGAAUAAAGUACUGUAUCACAUUGUAAAUAUUGAACGUUCUGUAAUUUAUGUUGAAAAUGUGAAUGGCCAUUUGAAUUUACAUGUCUGUUUGUUGUUUAUUUUUCCUAUAAUUCUUUAAUAUAAUUUGGUACCAUUUAAACUUAAAACCUGUCUUCAGUCUUCAUUACACUCAUUCCUAGAGCUGAAUUUAGUUUCUUCUGAUCUAGCCCAGUUAUAUAAUUCAUUGUUUACUUAAUACUUGUACACUGCUGCUGGAAUUUUUAUUUUCCUGAGGGAACUCUACUGAAGGAAUCAAUAAAGUACAAUCUAUCUAUUUUUGUACACUGUUGAGGUGAUUCAAUACGAAGUAGUGCGCAAGUGUGUUUUGUUUACUAUCUCCAGCCGUGGUCAUGUGGUGACAUUAAUUAUCAUAUUUUGAGAGGUAUUUAUCGAAGUCGAACAAAGUAGGAUAACAGUGAAAGCCUAGGUGGGAAACGCCACUGAUCUAUCUUUUUCUUCCUGACGCCACCGUUUCUUUUUUAUUUCAGCCAGAGUUCAGUUCUCGGAGACAGGGCAAUGACAUGAAUCACUCUGCUGUACACUUGAAACUGGUGACUUUUCCAGGGUGUACUCCGUCUUCCACGCAAGUACAGCUGGGAUAGGCUCCAGCACCCCCCCGACCUCAAAGGAAGAAGCGGUAGAAAAAGGAUGGAUGGAUACUGUGUGUGCAUAUUUACAAACACAUUAUCAGCUUGUUUUCUUUGUUUUCAUUGUU